UACAGAGGGUGCAAGCGUUGUUCGGAAUUAUUGGGCGUAAAGGGAGUGUAGGCGGUCGAUUAAGUCUUCUGUGAAAUCUACGGGCUCAGCCUGUAACGUGCAGAGGAAACUGGUAGACUUGAGUGUCGGAGAGGAUAGUGGAAUUCCCGGUGUAGAGGUGAAAUUCGUAGAGAUCGGGAGGAACACCAGUGGCGAAGGCGACUAUCUGGCUGACAACUGACGCUGAGACUCGAAAGCAUGGGGAGCAAACAGG
rnacentral:rRNA from 1 species